UACAGAGGGUGCUAGCGUUGUUCGGAUUCAUUGGGCGUAAAGGGUGCGUAGGCGGCGCGGUAAGUCGGGUGUGAAAUCUCGGAGCUUAACUCCGAAACUGCAUUCGAUACUGCCGUGCUUGAGGACUGGAGAGGAGACUGGAAUUUACGGUGUAGCGGUGAAAUGCGUAGAUAUCGUAAGGAAGACCAGUGGCGAAGGCGGGUCUCUGGACAGUUCCUGACGCUGAGGCACGAAGGCCAGGGGAGCAAACGGG
rnacentral:rRNA from 1 species